CCUACGGUGGGCUGCAGUCGAGAAUUUUGGGCAAUGGACGAAAGUCUGACCCAGCAAUGCCGCGUGCGGGAUGAAGGUCUUCGGAUUGUAAACCGCUGUCGAGGGGGACGAAAAUUGACGGUACCCCUGGAGGAAGCCACGGCUAACUACGUGCCAGCAGCCGCGGUAAUACGUAGGUGGCGAGCGUUGUUCGGAUUUAUUGGGCGUAAAGGGUCCGCAGGGGGUCGAUUAAGUCUGACGUGAAAUCUCUGAGCUCAACUCAGAAAUUGCGUUGGAGACUGGUUGACUAGAGUAUUGGAGAGGUAAUUGGAAUUCCAGGUGUAGCGGUGGAAUGCGUAGAUAUCUGGAAGAACAUCGAAAGCGAAGGCAGAUUACUGGACAAUAACUGACCCUCAGGGACGAAAGCAUGGGGAGCAAACAGGAUUAGAUACCCCUGUAGUC
rnacentral:rRNA from 1 species